GAGGUAGGAGCUGUAGUGGAGUCAAAGGGAGGAUCGAAGGUAGGAUCUGCAGUGGUGUUGGAGGUAGGAUCUGUAGUGGAGUCGGAGGUAGGAGCUGUAGUGGAGUCGAAGGGAGGAUCGAAGGUAGGAUCUGCAGUGGUGUUGGAGGUAGGAUCUGUAGUGGUGUUGGAGGUAGGAGUUGUAGUGGAGUCAAAGGGAGGAUCGAAGGUAGGAUCUGUAGUGGUGUUGGAGGUAGAAGCUGUAGUGGAGUCGGAGGUAGGAUCGAAGGUAGGAUCUGUAGUGGUGUUGGAGGUAGGAGCUGUAGUGGAGUCGGAGGUAGGAGCUGUAGUGGAGUCGAAGGGAGGAUCGAAGGUAGGAUCUGUAGUGGUGUUGGAGGUAGGAUCUGUAGUGGAGUCGGAGGUAGGAGCUGUAGUGGAGUCGAAGGGAGGAUCGAAGGUAGGAUCUGUAGUGGUGUUGGAGGUAGAAGCUGUAGUGGAGUCGGAGGGAGGAUCGAAGGUAGGAUCUGUAGUGGUGUUGGAGGUAGAAGCUGUAGUGGAGUCGGAGGUAGGAGCUGUAGUGGAGUCGAAGGGAGGAUCGAAGGUAGGAUCUGCAGUGGUGUUGGAGGUAGGAUCUGUAGUGGUGUUGGAGGUAGAAGCUGUAGUGGAGUCGGAGGUAGGAUCGAAGGUAGGAUCUG
ensembl:lncRNA